rnacentral:rRNA from 1 species
UACGUAGGGUGCAAGCGUUUGUCCGGAAUUACUGGGCGUAAAGCGUGCGCAGGCGGUUUUGCAAGCCGGAUGUGAAAUCCCCGGGCUCAACCUGGGAAUGGCAUUCGGGACUGCAAGGCUGGAGUGCGGCAGAGGAGACUGGAAUUCCUGGUGUAGCAGUGAAAUGCGUAGAUAUCAGGAGGAAUACCGAUGGCGAAGGCAGGUCUCUGGGCUGACACUGACGCUCAUGCACGAAAGCGUGGGGAGCAAACAGG